GAUACCCGUCGGGUACCCGCAUAAAAAAACCCGCAGAUUUUUUUUCAACCCGCGGGUAUCCGUUGGAUACCCGUUAACCUUUCUUUUUCAAAAUUUAUAAACCCUAGAUCUGCAGUUCAAAACUCCCAUCUACAUAGUUCUGCACUUCAAAACUCCCAUCUACAGAAAAACAUUUCAGAUCUGCACUUAAGAAUCUCAUAUCUGCAUCAAAGGAUCUCAGAUCUGCGUUAAAGGAUCACAGAUCUACACCAAAGAGUCUCAGAUCUGCCUCUCGUCGUCGCUCCUGAUGCGUUUCGGCAUCUCAAGCUCUGCGAAUAGGAUCACCUCUUGUUGGAAGAAGAAGCUGUCGCGAUGGGAUCACCUGUUGUUGGAAGAAGAAGCUGUUUCGUGAAUGGUGGAAGAAGAAGCUUCCGCGGACGGAGCCGUGAACGGUGGAAGAAGCUGCAAUAACGGGGUCGUUGAAGACGGUGGUUCUUGUGGUUGGUAGGUGGCGGAGAUUCUUGUGGUUGGUAGGUGGUGGAAAGAAGAAGAAAAAUGAAUAUUAAGAAAGAAGAAGAAAGAAGAAGAAAGAAGAAGCUUUGAGAGAGAAGUCUGAGAGAGAAGAAGAAAAAUGAAGCUUUUCACUUCUUUGCAAUGUAGCUUUUCACUUCUCUGCAACAUUUUUUAGUUUUAUUUUGUAAUUUUAUAUUUUAAUUUAUUUUGUAAUUUUAUAUUUUAAUUUAUUUUGUAAUUUCAUAAAAAGAUAAUAGAUAAAAUUGGAAUUUAGUUUUUUAAACG
rnacentral:lncRNA from 1 species